AUUGAACGCUGGCGGCAGGCCUAACACAUGCAAGUCGAACGGUAACAGGAAGAAGCUUGCUUCUUUGCUGACGAGUGGCGGACGGGUGAGUAAUGUCUGGGAAACUGCCUGAUGGAGGGGGAUAACUACUGGAAACGGUAGCUAAUACCGCAUAACAUCGCAAGACCAAAGAGGGGGACCUUCGGGCCUCUUGCCAUCGGAUGUGCCCAGAUGGGAUUAGCUAGUAGGUGGGGUAACGGCUCACCUAGGCGACGAUCCCUAGCUGGUCUGAGAGGAUGACCAGCCACACUGGAACUGAGACACGGUCCAGACUCCUACGGGAGGCAGCAGUGGGGAAUAUUGCACAAUGGGCGCAAGCCUGAUGCAGCCAUGCCGCGUGUAUGAAGAAGGCCUUCGGGUUGUAAAGUACUUUCAGCGGGGAGGAAGGGAGUAAAGUUAAUACCUUUACUCAUUGACGUUACCCGCAGAAGAAGCACCGGCUAACUCCGU
rnacentral:rRNA from 1 species